ACAGCCAGUGGCACAGGCAGAGCCCCUUGACAAAUGUGCUGUAGCUGAUUAUGAGCAGAUCCAAUGUGGACCACCUGGUAUCAGUGGUGCUGAGUGUGCAGCUAUUAACUGCUGCUUUAACGGACAGCAGUGUUACUAUGGGAAGGCCGUGACUGUCCAGUGUAUAAGAGAUGGUCAGUUUGUGGUAGUGGUGGCUAGAGAUGUCACGCUGCCUCGUUUGAGCCUGGAUUCAGUCCGUCUCCUGGGUGGAAAUGAUCCAGCUUGCAGUCCUGUGGGAUCCACACCUUUCUUUGCUAUAUACCAGUUCCCUGUCACUGCGUGCGGCACGAGCA